CGCUUGUCUCAGCUGGGCUCGGACCGGGUCCCAUUGGCGGCGGGUCUAAGAAGCAGUUAGCCAAUCACUGAUAAAGUUAAUGGGUGACAUUAUAAUUUCAGCUAAAUCCAUUGAGAUUUGGGCCAGCCCUUCGCCACCUUACACUGCGCUCUCGUCAGGGCGAGUCUCGUGAUGCGCCGGUUGACAACAUAACAAGAGCGACCACCGGCAGUGUCCUUCCAAGAAGACCCGAACUCUGUACGAGAGAAGAACUUUGCCGGACAAAGAAGAGGGUUUCUGGAUCUGAUCCCCCCCGGAGUGGAGGACUUAAAGAGGACGAGGAAGAACGAG
ensembl:lncRNA